UCGGGGAAGCAUGCAACUUGCUGCCAAAACGACAGGUGCCAGUAGUGUUGUCUCACUUCAUACAUAUUUUCGGAGUUGCUGUUGGUACUUGUUGGAGAUAGAUUUCAUUUGAGAAGAAGUUAGGCGCACGAGGCUCCAGAGUUUGUCAUCGCUGUUAUUCGCGUUACUGGGGCUCAUCUGAGAAUUGGAGCACACCUGGCACAGAAGGCUAUGUCGCACCUUAUACAAUAACAACACAAGACACUGUCAUACAAGGGUUUGGAGCACCGGAGUGGCGUGAAAGCGGUAUUUACGACAAUUGUAACUUGUAAGAUUUUACCUGAAGCCAAGUACAUUGAAUUGUUACGCAUUUGUAUUUAGAAGACUAUUGGAAUCCUGAGAAGCGUAUCAGAAAUUUGAAGUUAAGAUGUUUGUCCAAUUGGCGUCAUGUUAAUACUUUAAACCUCUUUGGAGUCUUGCAAACUGAUAUUUGUUCAAAUUUCAAUUGCUGUAGUGUUUAUUAGAAAAUAGUAUUAUUACAAUGUCAAAGUUUUGUGUGUGAAGUGAUUUUUGUGAUACAUUCCAAGGAGUUUUUAUUAUCGGAGUAUGGAUGCUGACUUCCAGCUAAUCAAGAAUGAUUGUAAGGC